rnacentral:rRNA from 1 species
AUGGCGCGGGAGCGGAGGGAGAUAAAGCGGAUAGAGAGCGCGGCGGCGCGGCAGGUCACCUUCUCCAAGCGCCGCCGGGGCCUCUUCAAGAAGGCCGAGGAGCUCUCCGUCCUCUGCGACGCCGACGUCGCGCUCAUCGUCUUCUCCUCCACCGGCAAGCUCUCCCAGUUCGCCAGCUCCAGUAUGAAUGAGAUCAUCGACAAGUACAGCACGCAUUCUAAGAACCUGGGGAAAACAGACCAGCCUGCUCUUGACUUGAACUUAGAGCAUAGCAAGUAUGCAAAUUUGAACGAUCAGCUUGCAGAAGCUAGUCUUCGACUAAGACAGAUGAGAGGUGAGGAGCUUGAGGGGUUGAGUGUUGAUGAACUCCAGCAGUUGGAGAAAAACCUAGAAACUGGUCUGCACAGGGUGCUUCAGACAAAAGAUCAACAAUUCUUGGAACAGAUAAAUGAACUGCAUCGAAAGAGUUCACAACUGGCAGAGGAGAACAUGAAACUAAGGAACCAAGUAGGCCAGAUUCCAACAGCUGGCAAGCUAGUGGUUGCUGAUACCGAAAAUGUUGUUGCUGAAGAUGGGCAGUCCUCGGAAUCCGUCAUGACUGCAUUACACUCCGGAAGUUCACAGGAUAAUGAUGAUGGUUCCGAUGUUUCCCUGAAAUUAGGAUUGCCCUGCCUUCCGUGGAAGUAA